rnacentral:rRNA from 1 species
CAGCAGCCGCGGGAAUACGAAGGGUGCAAGCGUUAAUCGGAAUUACUGGGCGUAAGGCGUGCGUAGGCGGUGAGUUAAGUCUGCUGUGAAAUCCCCGGGCUCAACCUGGGAAUGGCAGUGGAUACUGGCUCGCUAGAGUGUGUCAGAGGAUGGUGGAAUUCCCGGUGUAGCGGUGAAAUGCGUAGAGAUCUGGAGGAAUACCGGUGGCGAAGGCGGCCCCCUGGACAAAGACUGACGCUCAGGUGCGAAAGCGUGGGGAGCAAACAGGAUUAGAGACCCGUGUAGUCCCUGUCCUUAUACA